AAGUAUAUGUUAUGAAAAAACGCAAAAUCUUUUUAAUUAUCACUACAUCAGGGCUAAUGACAAAAUAUCGAGUCUGAUAAUAUUACUUGGAAACCGAGCGUUGAAGAGCAAAAUGAUUUGUGUCCCUGACUUCUAUGACUUCUACUGAGUACAUCCAUUCUUGUAGAAUCUCUAUAAACUUUUUCAUUUUGAUUUGACGAUAUUUUUCUAAAAUUUAUUUUUCACGUUUAGCGAUUUUGUAAUGAAUCCAAAAGAAACGAAAAUUGCUGCCGCUCGACGGCGCAUCUGCAAUUUUUCAAUUGAAAUUUAUUAGCAUAAAAAAAAAAAAAGAAACAAAUUUUCUUAAAUCUCCAAAACUGUCGAGUCGACUUUUGGAUUUAUUACAAAAUCGCCUAACUCGAAAAAUAUAUUUUAGAAAAAUAUCAGCGAAAUAAACCGAAGAAGUUUCAAAUAAGAGAAUCAACAAAAACAAAUGUACUCAGGAAGUCAUAGAAGCAAAUGAUACUAAUCCUACUGCUCUUCGAUACUCG